rnacentral:rRNA from 1 species
CAGCAGCCGCGGUAAUACCGGCGGCCCGAGUGGCGGUCACUAUUAUUGGGCUUAAAGCGUCCGUAGCCGGGUUGGUUAGUCUCCCGGGAAAUCUGGCCGCUUAACGGUCAGAAUUCCGGGAGAUACUGCCAGCCUAGGGACCGGGAGAGGCCGAGGGGAUUCCCGGAGUAGGGGUGAAAUCCUAUAAUCCCGGGAGGACCACCUGUGGCGAAGGCGCUCGGCUGGAACGGGUCCGACGGUGAGGGACGAAGGCCAGGGGAGCAAACCGGAUUAGAUACCCGGGUAGUCCUGGCUGUAAACGAUGCGGACUUUGUGUCGGACAAGCUAUGAGCUUGUCCGGUGCCGGAGGGAAACCGUUAAGUCCGCCGCCUGGGGAGUACGGCCGCAAGGCUGAAACUUAAAGGAAUUGGCGGG